UCAGGGCAUUCAUAGGGUUUCUCUCCAGUAUGAACACGAUGGUGUCUAAUAAGAUCUGAGCUGCCCCUAAAAGAUUUCCCACAUUUGUUGCAUACAUAAGGUUUUUCUCCACUGUGAAUUCUAUGAUGUCUCAGAAGGUCUGAGCUCUGAUUGAAAGUUUUCCCACAUUCUUUGCAUUCAUAUGGUUUCUCUCUUGUAUGAGUUACCUGAUGUCUGAUGAGGUCUGAG
rnacentral:lncRNA from 1 species